rnacentral:rRNA from 1 species
GACGAACGCUGGCGGCGUGCCUAACACAUGCAAGUUGAGCGACGAACCAGGGCUUGCCCUGGGGCAAAGCAGCGAACGGGUGAGUAACACGUGGGUAACAUACCCCGAUAACCGGGACAACCCGAGGAAACCCGGGAUAAUACCGGAUGUGCUCACUGGACUUCGGUUCAGUGCGUAAAGGAAGCUUCGGCCUCCGUAUCGGGACGGGCCCGCGGCCCAUUAGUUAGUUGGUGAGGUAACGGCUCACCAAGACCGCGAUGGGUAGCUGGUCUGAGAGGACGAUCAGCCACACUGGGACUGAGACACGGCCCAGACUCCUACGGGAGGCAGCAGUGGGGAAUCUUGCGCAAUGCGCGAAAGCGUGACGCAGCAACGCCGCGUGGGGGAAGAAGGCCUUCGGGUUGUAAACCCCUUUCAGGAGGGACGAAGGUUCGGCGGUGAAUAGCCGUCCGGACUGACGGUACCUGCACAAGAAGGCCCGGCUAACUACGUGCCAGCCGCCGCCGUAA